GAGCAUUCCACAGUGGGCUGUCUCGAGUAAUCACUGUUGGUGCCAGACUCAUCACCUGGGCUGCCUGGUUUAAAUGUACCACCCUGAGAGCCAGAGAGGGCUUCUGGAAGCCCUUUCCACCUGCAGAAGGUGAAAACUGGAAGUGAGCUUUGGGAUCCUGGAGUACAUCUCCGUCCUUGUAAAGAGGCAGAACCUGAGGCCCAGAGAAAUUACGUGACUGGUCACUAGGAGAGGGAAGAAUGGUUGAUUAUACUCAAAUUCAAGUAUGAAGGGAAGAAACUCUAAACUGAAAUGAAGAACACUAGCAGAAACUUCAAAAUGUUUUUUACUUGAUCACAACAGAAGCUAAAAAUUCUGAUGGCCAAAAUCACAAAGACAAGGGACAUCUGGCUGGCUCAGUUAGAGGAGCAUGAACUCUUGAUCUUCAGGUCAUGGGUUUGAGCUCCACAUUGGGUGUAGAGAUCACUAAAAUAAGUAAAUAAACUU